UGUGUGUGUGUGUGUGUGUGUGUGUGUGUGUGUGGUAGAGAGAGAGAGAGAGUGUGUGUGUGUACCUGAGCAUAUCACUGGGCAUGUUAAGUGUCUCUCAGUUCACGUUGUUGUUUGUUUGUUAUGCAUAUAAUAUUUUGUGUGUUUCUCUCUCUCCCUCUGUGUGUGUGUGUGUUUGUCAGCUUGUUUAGUAUGCUUCUGUUUUUCCAUGAGUCAUGUUUUGUGUCAUUAGCACGAGCUAGCUAAUGCUAAUUUAAUGAACAGGGCAAAACAUUUAAAACCAUGCAACUCCACGCUACAUGCAAACAA